rnacentral:rRNA from 1 species
CCUACGGGGGGCAGCAGUGAGGAAUAUUGGUCAAUGGGCGAGAGCCUGAACCAGCCAAGUCGCGUGAGGGAAGCCGGUCCUAUGGAUUGUACACCUCUUUUGUCGGGGAGCAAAAAGGCCUCGUGGGGCCACAAGUGAGAGUACCCGAAGAAAAAGCAUCGGCUAACUCCGGGCCAGCAGCCGCGGUAAUACGGGGGAUGCGAGCGUUAUCCGGAUUUAUUGGGUUUAAAGGGUGCGUGGGCGGACUGGAAGGUCAGCGGUAAAUUCGAGAGGCUCAAACUCUUUCAGCCUUUGAAACUGGCAAACUUGAGUGGGUGAGAGGUUAGUGGAAUUCCAGGUGUAGGAGUGAAAUGCGUAGAUAUCUGGCGGAACAUCAGUGGCGAAGGCGACUUUCUGGCGCCCAACUGACGCUGAGGAGCGAAAGCGUGGGUAGCAAACAGGAUUAGAUACCCCGGUAGUC